rnacentral:misc_RNA from 1 species
GAUGAAGAACGUAGCGAAAUGCGAUAAGUAAUGUGAAUUGCAGAAUUCAGUGAAUCAUCGAAUCUUUGAACGCACAUUGCGCCCGCCAGUAUUCUGGCGGGCAUGCCUGUCUGAGCGUCAUUUCAACCCUCAUGCCCCUAGGGCGUGGUGUUGGGGAUCGGCCAAAGCCCGCGAGGGACGGCCGGCCCCUAAAUCUAGUGGCGGACCCGUCGUGGCCUCCUCUGCGAAGUAGUGAUAUUCCGCAUCGGAGAGCGAUUAGCCCCUGCCGUUAAACCCCCAACUUUCCAAGGUUGACCUCAGAUCAGGUAGGAAUACCCGCUGAACUUAAGCAUAUCAAUAAGCGGAGGA